AUUGAACGCUGGCGGCAUGCCUUACACAUGCAAGUCGAACGGCAGCGCGUCCUUCGGAGUGGCGGCGAGUGGCGAACGGGUGGAGUAAUACAUCGGAACGUGCCCGAGAGUGGGGGAGUAACGCAGCGAAAGCUGUGCUAAUACCGCAUACGAUCUCAGGAUGAAAGCAGGGGACCGCAAGGCCUUGCGCUCACGGAGCGGCCGAUGGCAGAUUAGGUAGUUGGUGGGAGUAAAAAGACUUACCAAGCCGACGAUCUGUAGCUGGUCUGAGAGGACGACCAGCCACACUGGAACUGAGACACGGUCCAGACUCCUACGGGAGGCAGCAGUGGGGAAUUUUGGACAAUGGGCGAAAGCCUGAUCCAGCCAUUCCGCGUGCAGGAUGAAGGCCCUCGGGUUGUAAACUGCUUUUGUACAGAACGAAAAGGUCUGGGUUAAUACCCUGGGCUCAUGACGGUACCGUAAGAAU
rnacentral:rRNA from 1 species